UCUCCCCAACCCUGGCUUUCAUGCUGAGCUGGACUGGGAGGGCAUGGAUGAGCUCAGUGUGACUGCAGGAAGUCAGGAGCUAAGCUGCUCUGAAGACAUGCAAACAGAACGGGCUCCAGGCAUUUUCCCUCAGUUCCUCUUGUAUGGCUGUCUUUGGCCAGGCUCCUUGCAACUUGCAAAUAGCUUGCUCUGUGGUGGAGCAAGCUAGGAACAGGGAAGAGGUGUGCUACCAUACUGUGCAAUGACCAUAUUUCCUUGCCUGUUCCUUUACUGUAGGUUGAGUUGAAGAAACAGAUAUGGUCUGGUCUUAUGUUGCCUUGUUUUGGUGAGAAUAGUCCUGUGUAUGGUCUUUUCUGAAAGCCAUUGUGUUGCACUAAACAAACUUACAUGUUUGAGGGCAAAUGGUGGAGCUGGGAAAGGAUGGUUUGUGUCCUUGGUCUGGUACACCUCAUGGAGAUGCAUCUCUGUUGAGGUGCAGAUGCUCGUAUUUACCAGGAACCAGCUGCUUGCUGCAAGGGACUUACCCUCAGUUCUCAUAAACAGGCCCUUCUUGCUGUCCUGGAGAUUGCAAUCAUCUCCAUGGUGAGAGGCUGCACAAACAGAAGCAAGGAUAAUGACGUUGUCAAUUAAAAGGCAAAAGGAGGUUUCCUAGGACAUGAAGCUCGUGCUGGUUGUCCUGGUUCUAGAUUGAACACCCCUGGAAAGGUAGGCUGCAAACAUAGAAAGGCUGUCUGCAAAAAUAGUAGGGCCAGGAGGCACAUUACCAGCCCUGCAGUGUGGAGAAACCAGCAGCACCUGUUUGAGAAACUAAGGUGUGGAUUUGUUCAUGGAUGUGCCCUUUGAGCGUGUUUGAGAGGUAGAGAGCCCAUCUAAUAAAAACUACCCAAAUCUGCCUCUAACUGGCUCAGCUUACCUGCCUUUGAUGUGGUUCAAAAGGAAACAGGCCUGCACUAUGCCCUUCUUGUUAGCUCAGGAAUAUAAAGACCAGGAAUAUCCCAGCGCCUGCCUGACAAACAUGCAGAGCCUUGCUGACUCUGCCCUCAUCCCAGUCCCAGUGCGCUGGCCUUAAGUUCCCUUUCUUUGGUGCUUAAGUACAUGUGGGAAGCCUGAACCUCAACAAUGCUCCAGCUCUGUGCACAGCUCCUUCAGCCAUUCUAGUUCAGGCCUCAUCUCGUUUGGUUUGGAGCAGCUCCUGCCAAGGAGGUUCUUCAGGUCUCUUCCAUCAUCUCACUUCUUAGAGUUUUAGCAGUGAGAGCAAGGGAGUGUAAAAUCCCAAUUAUCCUGCUAUUCCAGCGUUUGUGCCUUUUCGCUGGGGUGGUGAGGGACAUUUGCAAAGGCAUCUGCUGCUGACUGAAAAAAGACUCAUCUUGCUUGAUGUUCUUCAGUUUCUCAGCUUGGUUUUCUUAUGGUUCAGCUGGUGGUGAAGAUGCCUACAGCACCACUCCUGUUCUUGCUGGGGAUGCUGUUUUUGUCAUCUUGUGUUUACAUGGUGCCUUGGUCCCUUGCUUGGAUCUUUUACUUGGAGAAGACAGUCUGCCUCUUUGCAAGAGAAACAGGGAUAUACUGGAGAGAAGGGCUGCAAAGAGCUUGUGUUGGUGGAAAUUGUGCUGAGUGGUAUAGACUGAAUCUGUAAUCCUGUAUAACAUAAACAGAGAAGUUGGGUAGGGACAUCAUAACAUGGGCUAAUGCAAAGAACUUUGUAGCUUUUGAUAGUAGAGGUGUGAAAGACCUUGUGUGUAGUUUUGUAAGGGUGCGAAUGAAGGUUGUGCCAGCGCUAUUGUUUUGGGAAGGGAGUGGGGCUGCAGAAG